GAUGUCGACUUGGAGGUUGUGCCCUUGAGGCGUGGCUUCCGGAGCUAACGCGUUAAGUCGACCGCCUGGGGAGUACGGCCGCAAGGUUAAAACUCAAAUGAAUUGACGGGGGCCCGCACAAGCGGUGGAGCAUGUGGUUUAAUUCGAUGCAACGCGAAGAACCUUACCUGGUCUUGACAUCCACGGAAGUUUUCAGAGAUGAGAAUGUGCCUUCGGGAACCGUGAGACAGGUGCUGCAUGGCUGUCGUCAGCUCGUGUUGUGAAAUGUUGGGUUAAGUCCCGCAACGAGCGCAACCCUUAUCCUUUGUUGCCAGCGGUCCGGCCGGGAACUCAAAGGAGACUGCCAGUGAUAAACUGGAGGAAGGUGGGGAUGACGUCAAGUCAUCAUGGCCCUUACGACCAGGGCUACACACGUGCUACAAUGGCGCAUACAAAGAGAAGCGACCUCGCGAGAGCAAGCGGACCUCAUAAAGUGCGUCGUAGUCCGGAUUGGAGUCUGCAACUCGACUCCAUGAAGUCGGAAUCGCUAGUAAUCGUGGAUCAGAAUGCCACGGUGAAUACGUUCCCGGGCUUGUGUACACAC
rnacentral:rRNA from 1 species